rnacentral:miRNA from 1 species
CAGAAGGGGAGUCGGGAGCGGA